rnacentral:rRNA from 1 species
GACGAACGCUGGCGGCGUGCCUAAUACAUGCAAGUAGAACGCUGAAGGAGGAGCUUGCUUCUCUGGAUGAGUUGCGAACGGGUGAGUAACGCGUAGGUAACCUGCCUGGUAGCGGGGGAUAACUAUUGGAAACGAUAGCUAAUACCGCAUAAUAGUAGAUGUUGCAUGACAUUUGCUUAAAAGGUGCAGUUGCAUCACUACCAGAUGGACCUGCGUUGUAUUAGCUAGUUGGUGGGGUAACGGCUCACCAAGGCGACGAUACAUAGCCGACCUGAGAGGGUGAUCGGCCACACUGGGACUGAGACACGGCCCAGACUCCUACGGGAGGCAGCAGUAGGGAAUCUUCGGCAAUGGACGGAAGUCUGACCGAGCAACGCCGCGGGAGUGAAGAAGGUUUUCGGAUCGUAAAGCUCUGUUGUAAGAGAAGAACGAGUGUGAGAGUGGAAAGUUCACACUGUGACGGUAUCUUACCAGAAAGGGACGGCUAACUACGUG